UUCCAAUGGAUGUAUUAUCUCAACAUUUUUAGCAGCCUUCUCCUAAAUGUUUCCUAAUGUCACGUACAAAAACAUAGGGAAUUUGCAUGGAAAAUCUUCCACUAGGGAAAAGGAAAACACCUUAAUUUGAAACUGAGCUAACAUGUUGAUUUGGGGGCUUUACGAGCAAGGGUAUGAACAAAGCGGGGCAGUUGGAGAAGCGGAAGAAGAGAAAAAGAGGUGAAGCCAUCAGUGUCUACAGCUUCAGCUAUUGCCCGUGUGCAGAUGGUGCUUAAUCUCUCUUGUGCCUUCCAGACCUGCAUUCCAGCCACCUACCAAACCCCUUUCUGUGGAUGCCAAGAAAAGUCUUCAGACCGUGGACAAUGUGCUCUUUGCCCCUAUUAUGGAGAAAGGUGUUCCCUAGGAUGAUGACACAAGGAUUUAAUGAGUAGAAGACAACAACUUAAAACCUCUCAUUUGAGCAUGAAUUGUCUAGGUUAAAGGUAGGCAUUGAGAUCCCAUUAGCUACUGGCACACUUGGGAAAAGAAAUGUACACAUGCACAGACACACUUUAAAGCAAGACUUCAUAAAAAUACAGCGAUGCCUGUUUCUACUCAGACCCAAAAAUGGAAUUAAAGCCAAAACUUACAACCCCUCUACUAAUUAGAGAAGUAAAAAUGUCUUCACCCCAAGUGUCCCAGCACAACGUGAAACCGAAACAAGCUGCCUUUCUUUGGAUUCCACUUAUUUAUUUAUGUUUAAAAGAAUAUUUGAAGAAAAGGACGCCUAGUAAAAGAACAGUUGGAGAAAACAUGGGACACCAUACAUUGGAAGAGAAAUGUAGAUGAAGUACACAGCUACAACAGGGAUAUUUUUUUUCUUGUUGAAACACAUGAUAAUGGGCUAAUAAAAAUCUGGUUACCUUUACAUUUCUUCUCCUCCGUUUGGAAGGUCUGGGCACUUGAGACACUCUGGUCGUUCACAUCAUCAUGGUCCAGAUGGAAUAUUG
rnacentral:lncRNA from 1 species